rnacentral:misc_RNA from 1 species
AAGUCGUAACAAGGUUUCCGUAGGUGAACCUGCGGAAGGAUCAUUAAAAAAUUGAGGUAUUCGUACCUCUUUUUAUUUAAAACCUUACUCUAUAAAUUUAUAUAUAUAAAAAAUAAAUGAAAAACUUUCAACAAUGGAUCUCUUGGCUCUC